rnacentral:rRNA from 1 species
UACGGGGGGGGCAAGCGGUUGUUCGGAAUUACUGGGCGUAAAGGGCUCGUAGGCGGCCAACUAAGUCGGACGUGAAAGCCCUCGGCUUAACCGAGGAACUGCGUCCGAUACUGGAUGGCUUGAGGUUGGGAGAGGGAUGCGGAAUUCCAGGUGUAGCGGUGAAAUGCGUAGAUAUCUGGAGGAACACCGGUGGCGAAGGCGGGUCUCUGGGCCGAUACUGACGCUGAGGAGCGAAAGCGUGGGGAGCGAACAGG